CUCUAAAAUGCAUCUCUCUGGGGGACAUGACACCAAAGCUAAGAGACCAAUCAAGAGGAAGAGACCAGCCUCCCCUGUACCCAGCUGUGUGUCCAUGAAGAGUGACCAGUCUAUGGAUCAACCUAUGAAGUUUAGAAAGGUAGAAUUUUCUACUGAACAAAGGGGACAGUGCUCUAAAAUGAGUCUCUCUGGGGAGAGAGAGG